AUUAUUAAUCUUACUACUCUUAUUUUCCAUUUUUAUUUUCUUUUAAUUUUGUAGAAACUAAACCAAAGACAACUGGUCCACCACCAACUCGGAAGGACUAUGAUUUUCGAGAAAAUGCUAUUUAUGCAAAAUCUGACAAAAUGAAAACAAAACAAACAGGUCGAGCCAAUGCCAGCCCACUCAACAAUCAAGACGUCUACACCGUAGAAGGUAAAGCAAACCCAGUAAUGAAUGUAGCAGAUGAAUAUGAUGGCGGCACCUACGAUUCGCAAUUUGCACCAGGUUCUGCUGUGUGAAAUGGUUAAUGACAUAAGAAAAUAUGUAUAAUCCUUUAAAUAUGUGUAUAUAUAUAUAUAUAUAUAUAUAUAUAUAUAUAUAUAUAUAUAUAUAUAUAUAUAUAUAUAUAUAUAUAUAUAUAUACACAUUCAUACACACAUAUAUAUGUAUUUUAAUGGAUAUUGUUUUUCACAUGUAGUAAUUCUUUUUAUACAAAGAAGUGAAUCAUUUAUUCUAUUUUUUCAUUUGUAAAAGAAAAAAAUUUAAUUCUGUGAAAUUGCACACACACACACAUAUUUAUACAUACAUAUGUAUACAUAUUUACUGAUAUGCAUACAUAAACAGGAAUGGUCAAAUUUUGCCUUUCAUCUUUUGAGGAUCUUUAAAAUACUAGUAUUUAACUAGUUUACUUGUUAAAUACUAAAUCUGAUAUAAAUUGUUUAAUCUCCUUCCCCUCUAAAAAAAAUACUUUCAGGCCUUUUCUAAUGUAAGAAUAUAUUUUUAUUAGUAUAAUUAUUAUAAAUAAUAAUAGUAAUGGUAAUAAUAAUAACUCUUUCAAAUCUUGGCACAAAGGCUAGCAAUUUUGGCAUGAGUGGGUCAGUUACAUUGACUCCAGUACAUGGCUGUUACUUGAAGAUUCUAUAAUAAUAAUAUUAUUUUCAAAGUGAUGGAUUGGUAGAACUGUAUUGGCCAAAAUGAAUGACAAUAUUUACUUAUGGUCUUUUAUGGUUUAAGUUCAAUUCCUACCAAGGUUACUUUUGCCUUUCGUUCUUUUUCAAGUCAGUAAAAUACAAUAACAAUCAAGUAUUUAAGUUGAUUUAAUUGAUCAACCUCUUCUCGAAAAUUUCUGACCUUGUACCUGUAUUAGAAACAAUUAUUAUUAUUAUUAUUAUUAUUAUUAUUAGCCAGAUGUUAAAAUCAAUGUUUUCAAUUCCAAUUCUACCUGGAAUUAUUUCACUUUUCACUUCUAUGGGUUAAGUAAAAUAACUGCUAUUGAUGUACUUGGUCUCAACUAAAAUGUGACACUGCCUUCUCCUAAAGAUUUGUGACCCUGUACCAAUGAAAGAAAUCAUUAUCAUAUUUGUUGUGCUUUGAGCAGUGGAUAACAGAAUCAUUAGAGUUAAGGACAAAAUGCCUUGUGAUAUCUACUGAAGUCCCUUUAUCUCUUAGUUCUCUGGGGUUCAAAACACAAUGUCCAAUUUGCUAUAUUAUUGGUUGCCAACCUUUUCACUUCAAGAACCCUUAUUAUUUAAACAAAUUAAAAGAUGGCAAGCUGCAUAAUCAUUUACAGGUCAGGUACAAUGCCAAGCAUUGAAAUUCUGCUGAGGUUGACUUUGCCUUUCAUAGUUUUGCAGUUGAUAAAAUAAGUUCCUGUCAAUGUAAUCAACUUACCCACUUCACCUAAAUUUGCUGGCCAGAAUUCAAAACCAUUAUUUAAACAAAUUCUUCCAAGUAUCCCAGGCUUUUCAAAGGUCUGUCUACCCAAGAAAUUUUAAACUUAGUCCACAUAUUUUCAAUACUAAUUUUGUAGAUUUUCACCCAUCAUCAAAAGUGUAUUGUAUGAACUGCUGUUGAUAACAGAAUUGGUAAUGCAAUAGACAAAAUGUGCUCUUUCUUUGCAUUCUGAUUUCAAAUCCUGCUCAGACCAAAUUAGCUAUUAAUCCUUCUGGACUAAAAGUUAACUUGUACAUAAAUUUCAAUUAGGUAAUAGUGAGAAUUGUGUCAUUCUAAAUGACUUUUGCUUCUACAAAAUGUGUGGCCUUGCACCUAUGGUUAGAAAUCCCGAUUUCUACUACUGUAAUAAUCCUUCAGAAAGUAGCUGUCAUCAUAAAUGAUUGACAACAUACAAAUGUCAUUGACAAUUCUUUUUUUUUUUUUCUUUGACUUCUUGGGUCUUU